rnacentral:rRNA from 1 species
CAGUCGCCGCGGUAAUACAGAGGGUGCGAGCGUUAAUCGGAUUUACUGGGCGUAAAGAGUGCGUAGGCGGCUUUUUAAGUCGGAUGUGAAAUCCCUGAGCUUAACUUAGGAAUUGCAUUCGAUACUGGGAAGCUAGAGUAUGGGAGAGGAUGGUAGAAUUCCAGGUGUAGCGGUGAAAUGCGUAGAGAUCUGGAGGAAUACCGAUGGCGAAGGCAGCCAUCUGGCCUAAUACUGACGCUGAGGUACGAAAGCAUGGGGAGCAAACAGGAUUAGAUACCCCAGUAGUCCCUGUCUCUUAUAC